UACGAAGGGGGCUAGCGUUGCUCGGAAUCACUGGGCGUAAAGCGCACGUAGGCGGGUUCUUAAGUCAGGGGUGAAAUCCUGGAGCUCAACUCCAGAACUGCCUUUGAUACUGGGAAUCUCGAGUCCGGGAGAGGUGAGUGGAACUGCGAGUGUAGAGGUGAAAUUCGUAGAUAUUCGGAGGAACACCAGUGGCGAAGGCGGCUCACUGGUCCGGUACUGACGCUGAGGUGCGAAAGCGUGGGGAGCAAACAGG
rnacentral:rRNA from 1 species